AUGAACGCUAGCGGCAGGCUUAAUACAUGCAAGGUUGAGGGGCAGCAUGAUAUACGCGAGUAUAUUGAUGGCGACCGGCGGACGGGUGAGUAAUAGGUAGGAGACCUACCUCAGUACAGGGGGAUAGCAUAGAGAAAUCUGUGGUAAUACCCCAUGAGGUUAUAUGAAUAGAGGCAUAUAAUCAAAGCAUAAGCGAUUAUGCGGUAUGAGAGGGGCCUACUGACCAUUAGCUAGUUGGUGAGGUAAGGGCUCACCAAGGCGAAGAUGGUUAGGGGUUUUGAGAGAGAGACCCCCCACAUUGGAACUGAGAGACGGUCCAGACUCCUACGGGAGGCAGCAGUAGGGAAUAUUGGGCAAUGGGCGAAAGCCUGACCCAGCCAUGCCGCGUGAAGGAAGACGGCCUUAUGGGUUGUAAACUUCUUUACUACGCGAAUAGAGGUUAGUACGAGAUACUAAUAGGAAGGUAGUGUAGUAAAAAGCACCGGCUAACUCCGUG
rnacentral:rRNA from 1 species